UAAGCCAUCUGAAUGCUGCCUGAAAGAGUAUUCAGUCAUAAAGUUGUAUUCUUUGCUAAUUCAGACAGCACCCUUUCAGUUGGUAUUGGGUGGAAAGAAAUAUCAAUCAUCUCAGUCUACAUGUAUAGCGGCAUUCUGAUCAAUCAGUGAUGGUUGGGAUUUAUAUCAUCAAAGGACGUCAACUGGCAGCUUUCAGGGCUUUCUCAUUCAUACGUGACGCUGGUGUAGUUGAGCUGGGAUCUUGUGGAAGGAGGAAAACAGGAAAAAGCUUCUGAUGAAUAUUACCCGGAGAAACGGUCGUGGUAGGUGAAUGGACUUGGGGGUCAGAAGCAGGUGAAGGUAAAGAUGCAUUUAAAAGAUGGAUUAUGAGAGUGAGGAUAGUAUAGAUCAGAGGAAUUGAUGAUGACUGUGGUAUUUGUUAUGCCCUUACUAGGUGCCAUGCGCUGGUAUAUAUACAAAAUCAUGUGGGACACAGUCCCAGUUCCAGUCAGAAGGAAACCAGGUAUUAAAUCUUCAUUUUACUAAUGAGCAAACUGAGCCACAGACAAAUGAAGUGACUUGCCCAAGGUCACACAGGAGGCAAGUGGCAGUCAGGAUUGGAACCCUGGUCCUCCAGCUCCCUGCUUUCAACAAACUACUUAAAGGACUGAUGACAAGAAGGAUCAAGGUUAUUUCCAGAGAGUUCCACGAGCUGGAUUGUGGGCCAUCUGUUUGACAUCGCUGACUUGGAGCAUGAGGAUCAGGAAAAACGAUAUUAGACCCGGUGACCUGUGGAGAGAAGAGAAAAGGUAUUUAGGUUAUGUCUGGACAAGGCUGAGCUAUGAAACAAGGUUCUGUAGUCCGGAAAGAACAGAGCUCCACACUUUUGCAGACACUUUUGCAGAGGCUAAGAUUACAAGCAUGACAUCAUUUUUGGUGCAUUGCAGUAGUGGCAAGGGGAGGAAUGUCGGACUAGGGAGAUGGAAAGGAACUGCAGUCGGAUUUUAUGGAAGAAUGCUUCAAACAAAAGUUCUUUUUAGAAGAAUGUAGUGAUCCAGAUUGCUACAUGGCUCAGAGAGGUGUGAAGGAUCAGGGAAGUACCCAGUGUGGAAGGAAAACAACUUGGAGAUGCUCAUAAUCUAAAAAUAAGACAACGAGGAUGGCGAAAUGAGCGUUGGGGAAUUAGCAAUUCCAUUUUCAAAGUAAGGAGAUUUUUCCACCUCUUGGAUUGAAUGCACAAUUAAAAUUCCACAAUCCUCUCAAGGCUCAUUUGGGAAAAAGAAAAAAAGCUGUCAGGGUUUUAGACCCAGAUUUGAACAUUACACCUAUCAUUCUGACUUUCUUUUUAUUCUCGAAGUGGAGAUCAAACCUGACCACCACCUGGGAAAAUAUUUAUUUUUUUCAAUAAAGCCAAACAGCCAUAAUUAGCCAUUAAUGGAGCUAAUAAAAAAUGUCAUUGACAUGAUAC
rnacentral:lncRNA from 1 species